UCCUUUCACAAGUGGCCAUCAAGAACAGCGGGUUUUCUGUCUAAGAGGCUUCUGAGAUUUGAAAAACGGUGGCUAAUGAUGACAACAGCAACAGCACGGAGCACAGAAAACUCUACAGGCCUGGGGUCGGCUCAUCGCACAGCCUCCAUCUCUGGAUGCCCUGUUCUCCCCACUCCAGAAAAAAUCAAAUCAGAUUGUGAAUUUAUUCCCUGACAUUAACACGUGGCAUUACAGGAGCAUGUACAUCACAUGGUCAAUUUAUUGGCAUAAGGAUUAUGUCAUUGGGGAAUAAAUGGGAAAUUCUCAAGGUA